rnacentral:rRNA from 1 species
CCUACGGGUGGCAGCAGUGAGGAAUAUUGGUCAAUGGGCGCAAGGCUGAACCAGCCAAGUCGCGUGAAGGAAGAAGGUUCUAUGGUUUGUAAACUUCUUUUAUAGGGGAAUAAAGGUAUCUACGUGUGGAUAUUUGCAUGUACCCUAUGAAUAAGCAUCGGCUAACUCCGUUCCAGCCGCCGCGGUAAUACGGAGGAUGCGAGCGUUAUCCGGAUUUAGUGGGUUUAAAGGGUGUGUAGGUUGUUUUUGAAGUCAACGGUGAAAGUUUGUGGCUCAAACAUAAAAUUGCCGUUGAAACUGGAAGACUUGAGUGUGUUUGAGGUAGGCGGAAUGGGUGGUGUAGCGGUGGAAUG